rnacentral:rRNA from 1 species
GAUGAACGCUAGCUACAGGCUUAACACAUGCAAGUCGAGGGGAAACGAUAUUGGAAGCUUGCUUCCGAUAGGCGUCGACCGGCGCACGGGUGAGUAACGCGUAUCCCAACCUGCCCACCACUUGGGGAUAACCUUGCGAAAGUAAGACUAAUACCCAAUGACGUCUCUAGAAGACAUCUGAAAGAGAUUAAAGAUUUAUCGGUGAUGGAUGGGGAUGCGUCUGAUUAGCUUGUUGCGGGGUAACGGCCCACCAAGGCGACGAUCAGUAGGGGUUCUGAGAGGAAGGUCCCCCCANAUUGGAACUGAGACACGGUCCAAAACUCCUACGGGAGGCGGCAGUGAGGAAUAUUGGUCAAUGGGCGAGAGCCUGAACCAGCCAAGUAGCGUGCAGGAUGACGGCCCUAUGGGUUGUAAACUGCUUUUAUAAGGGAAUAAAGUGAGUCUCGUGAGACUUUUUGCAUGUACCUUAUGAAUAAGGACCGGCU